GCCUUCGUAGUGUAAUGGUCAGCACACUCUGCGCGUAUUCGAAAGGUCCAGGGUUCGAGUCCCGGUGAGGGCA
rfam:Stegodyphus mimosarum contig34693, whole genome shotgun sequence.